rnacentral:rRNA from 1 species
AUUGAACGCUGGCGGCAUGCUUUACACAUGCAAGUCGAACGGCAGCGGGGUAGUGCUUGCACUACUGCCGGCGAGUGGCGAACGGGUGAGUAAUAUAUCGGAACGUACCGAGUAAUGGGGGAUAACCAAUCGAAAGAUUGGCUAAUACCGCAUACGUCCUGAGGGAGAAAGCGGGGGAUCGCAAGACCUCGCGUUAUUCGAGCGGCCGAUAACUGAUUAGCUAGUUGGUGGGGUAAAGGCCUACCAAGGCGACGAUCAGUAGCGGUUCUGAGAGGACGAUCCGCCACACUGGGACUGAGACACGGCCCAGACUCCUACGGGAGGCAGCAGUGGGGAAUUUUGGACAAUGGGGGCAACCCUGAUCCAGCCAUGCCGCGUGUAUGAAGAAGGCCUUCGGGUUGUAAAGUACUUUUGUUAGGGAAGAAAAGGGAAGUGCUAAUACCACUUUUUGCUGACGGUACCUAAAGAAUAAGCACCGGCUAACUACGUG